rnacentral:rRNA from 1 species
GUCCGUGAUUAUACAGAUGUGGAAACGCCUUGCUCCAUCCCGAACCAAGAAGCUAAGCACAUCGUGGGUGAUGAUACUACGCCUUACU